GUUUGGAUCUAUUUUUUAUAAUAGGUACAGUCAUUGUAUUGAACACAAUCAUUCCUCUUCACCGCUUAAUUUAUAGAUAAUGCACAGUGAUGCACGUUGACUGAAUAUGAAAGUACAUAUGUAGUUGUCUCCCUUACGUGUAUAAUCAAUUUCAGAAUGUUCAUUGUUAUUUCCCUUGUUCAAAACUAUAAAUUUCAUGCUUCUUUAUUUAAUGAUUUACAU
rnacentral:lncRNA from 1 species